rnacentral:sRNA from 1 species
UCAGUGUGUCAAUAAACGGUGAACGCAA